UACGUAGGGGGCAAGCGUUGUCCGGAUUUAUUGGGCGUAAAGAGCGUGUAGGCGGCCAAGCAGGUCCGCUGUGAAAACUCGAGGCUCAACCUCGAGACGUCGGUGGAAACCGUUUGGCUAGAGUCCGGAAGAGGAGAGUGGAAUUCCCGGUGUAGCGGUGAAAUGUGCAGAUAUCGGGAAGAACACCCGUGGCGAAGGCGGCUCUCUGGGACGGUACUGACGCUGAGACGCGAAAGCGUGGGGAGCGAACAGG
rnacentral:rRNA from 1 species